rnacentral:lncRNA from 1 species
GUGAAGUAUUUUGCUCAAGGUCGUUCAUCAAAUUAGUAGUUUAAUUAACUCAGUGUUCUAGGAAGCAGGGUAGUAGAAAAGCAUGGGAUUCGGAGUCUGAAAUCUUCCUUGGUUUCUGGUCCUUGUAGGCUGUUUUACAAGUGUAUCUUGGGCAAAUCCCUUAACGUCUUGCCAUUUAUUAAGGGCUUACUUACCACGUGGCAAACAAUCCACUUUGCAUGCUGUGUCAAUUACAUGCAGUAUGUCGUGUAGUUAUUACUGUCCCCAUUUUAUGAGGUAGUUUAGGUUUAAAGAUAUUAGAAAUUUACCCAAAGUUACGCAGUUAUAAACAUUGUAGUAAUUUCAAACUCAGGUCUUCGUGACUGCAAAGGCUGCUGUCUUAAGUAUUGUAAUACAUUAGAGCUCCGGAUUCCCUCCCACUCAAAACAGAGACUGAGACUCCAACCAAUUUCCACCAUUAUUGGGAGUCAAACGAGAGAGACUGUGGCAAUGUAUUCUAAGCUGUACAAAGGUAUAAACAUAUUCACUAGAUUUGUAGAAUGAAGUUAUUCCUUCCCUAUACUUUCCACUACAACAAUUCAGCCAAAAAGAUGGCUUUCAUACUAAGCAUAAGAAGGAACUUCACUGUAAUUAUGAUAUUCUAACCAAGAAUAUAUGCAUAUCUAGGCAAUAACCAAAGUGAAUAGAAUAAAAUUUAAUUCCUGAUAGAUUAAAUAGGCAAUAGCAAGGAAUGCUAACGCUCCUCAUAGCGUUCUUGUUGGAAGAAUCAUCUAGGAGGCAUUGGGAUUUCUGGUGCUUUUUAAGCAAUGAGAGAUAUCAGUCCACUGAAUGAGGAAGAGAAUAACGUUUAGUUUCGGACUAAAAGUUCAUCUGGACUACGGAAAACACGUUUGCCUCAAUCAGUGAAGAAGGUAUGCUGAGAGCUGAAAGAAAAGGAAAGCAGCAACAGUGAGAGCUCAGAAAUUCCCAGACUGUUUUGAUGAUAAGGUCCAAGAACUUGCCAUGUGAUCCAUCACUACUAGACUCCCACAACUGCAUUAGAUUUGUUCAGGAUUUUCAUAUAAUUUUCAUAACUGGCUAAGUUCUGAAAUAACCCAUCUUGAAGACAUAAACAAUGUGCAUUGAUGGCUAGCCAGACUCUGUCCUGCCACAGUUCUCCUCCUACUCUUCAUUUCUUACCCCAAGGAGUAGUAAACAUGAAUCCUGACCCACCAAUGCAGUCCCAGAACUGAGAAAAGAUUCACUGCAGCUAAACAGAUUAUUUUUGCACCUUUGGAAAGCAACUGAAAAAGGAAGCCUGGAAAAAAUCCUGCCUAACAAAGCAGCAGUACUCAAAUAGCUUUAACUAUAAGAAAGAACUGAUUCAAGAUAUGAGAAG